AACGCGAAGAACCUUACCAGCCCUUGACAUCCCGGUCGCGGACUCCGGAGAUGGAGUUCUUCAGUUCGGCUGGACCGGAGACAGGUGCUGCAUGGCUGUCGUCAGCUCGUGUCGUGAGAUGUUGGGUUAAGUCCCGCAACGAGCGCAACCCCCGUCCUUAGUUGCUACCAUUUAGUUGAGCACUCUAAGGAGACUGCCGGUGAUAAGCCGCGAGGAAGGUGGGGAUGACGUCAAGUCCUCAUGGCCCUUACGGGCUGGGCUACACACGUGCUACAAUGGCGGUGACAAUGGGACGCUAAGGGGCAACCCUUCGCAAAUCUCAAAAAGCCGUCUCAGUUCGGAUUGGGCUCUGCAACUCGAGCCCAUGAAGUUGGAAUCGCUAGUAAUCGUGGAUCAGCACGCCACGGUGAAUACGUUCCCGGGUCUGUCCACCAAG
rnacentral:rRNA from 1 species